rnacentral:rRNA from 1 species
AUUGAACGCUGGCGGCAUGCUUUACACAUGCAAGUCGAACGGUAACAGGCCUUUGGGUGCUGACGAGUGGCGCACGGGGGAGUAAUGCAUCGGAACGUACCCAGAGGUGGGGGAUAACGCAGCGAAAGCUGUGCUAAUACCGCAUGUGAGCUGAGGAUGAAAGCGGGGGAGCGCGUAGCAAUGUUUGCCCUCGCGCCUUUGGAGCGGCCGAUGUCGGAUUAGCUAGUUGGUGGGGUAAAGGCCUACCAAGGCGACGAUCCGUAGCUGGUCUGAGAGGACGACCAGCCACACUGGGACUGAGACACGGCCCAGACUCCUACGGGAGGCAGCAGUGGGGAAUUUUGGACAAUGGGCGCAAGCCUGAUCCAGCAAUGCCGCGUGCGGGAAGAAGGCCUUCGGGUUGUAAACCGCUUUUGGCAGGAACGAAACGGUGUCCGCUAAUACCGGGCGCUAAUGACGGUACCUGCAGAAUAAGCACCGGCUAACUACGUG